AUGGAGAGGAGGGGUAAAUUCCUCCGCCCCCCGGCCCCCGACGACGCCGCGGCCGCCGGCAGGAGCGCCACGUUCCCCGCCGCCGGGGACACGGGCCACACCAACCUCACCUCCUCCUCGGGCUCCUCCUCCUCCUCCACCGUCACGGGCGACCCUCUCGACUUCCUCGGCCAGAUCCAUGCGGCCUGCAAGCGCCAGAGGCCCCUCGGUACUACAACACAGCGUGCAACUCGUAUCCUGUUGCCUCGAGGUGAGGGGCCGGCGAAAGCUGGUACCAGCCCUUCUGUUAGACAGAGUUCUGAAGGAAUGGCUAUGCAGAAGCAGAGAGGCGUGCUGGCGGCCUCCAGGUUGCAAAAGGUGUCUCCUGAUCAAAAGGAUGUUAACGCUGGUGCAGGAGUACUGGCAUCAAAUCAAAACGACAUGUUGUCUACACCUUCCAUGUUGAGUACUAUCACUGAUACCCGCAAUCAGAAUGCUGGUCAAAACGACCAGCAGAAGAAUGAAAUGGAUCUGUUUGUGAACAGGAAUAAGUCGUCGUUAGAUGUUUCUUCUUAUAAGAUCACAUCUCGAAAUGCAUCAGUUGGCGAUUCACACUUAACUUCUCAGGGUGAGAAUGUAGGAGUAACCACUGACAGUAGAAUGGACAGUAUGUUGUCUUAUCUGCAUUCUGUUUCAUUGUCAGCAGGAGAUAAUUAUCAUGUGGCUCAAGCAGCACAUGAUCAAGGCGGGAAACAUCAGAAGCUUGAGCUAGCUGGUGCAUCAGUUGAGAUGGAUGUCAAGUAUGAUGCAGCAACUUUGCCUCAAAAAGGGAUUGAAGAAGCUUGUAAUCAGAAUCGAGAGCCAAUGACCCGUUGCUCUGUCGUUGGUUCUUCAGUUACUGCUGUAUCACUACAUUCAGGGCAAAAUACACGAGUUCCUCAGAGUAACCAAUAUGCUUCGCCAAUGCAGAUGCCUGAAUGUACAGUGGAAUCAUCUGCAGCUAUACCAGGUAGUGUCCCUCCCAAACAGCAAGAAGCUGCAAUGCCAUCAAGUGUUGGUGAUUGGAAUCCUAAAAACCGUCAGGUUCCUAAUACAACAGACAAAGCUGCCCCUGGCAAUGGAGGUUUGCCAUCCCGAGGCCAAGGGUUAUCUGCUAAUGAACAAUCUACGUCUGCCAAGGAUGGGGGUACUUCGCAAGCAAACAGGGAUCAGAAGGAGCGCCGAAAAAAGGGUUAUGAUCCUGAACAUUUCUUUAAGGUGAACGGGAAGCUUUAUCAGAAACUUGGUAAAAUUGGAUCUGGUGGCAGCAGUGAGGUUCACAAAGUUAUAUCAAUGGAACGUGCAAUCUACGCCCUGAAAAAGAUAAAGCUUAAAGGUCGUGACUACCCGACAGCAUAUGGCUUUUGCCAAGAAAUCGGUUACCUAAAUAAGCUGAAAGGAAAGAGUAACAUCAUACAGCUAAUUGAUUACGAGGUCACUGAUAAAAAUUUACUUAAAGAAGGUCCUAUCUCACCUCGAGAUGGAAAAAUUAAGGAUGAUCAGUACAUUUACAUGGUCCUUGAGUUUGGCGAAAUUGAUUUAGCACAUAUGGUUGCUCAGAAGUGGAAGGAGAGAAGCAACUCAAAUAUGAAAAUAGAUGAAAAUUGGCUGCGGUUUUAUUGGCAGCAAAUGCUUGAAGCAGUCAAUACAAUCCAUGAGGAACGGAUAGUGCAUUCCGAUCUGAAGCCUGCAAAUUUUAUGCUUGUGAAGGGAUCACUGAAGCUAAUAGACUUUGGCAUUGCCAAAGCUAUAAUGAAUGAUACGACAAACAUUCAACGUGAUUCUCAGGUAGGAACACUUAACUACAUGUCACCUGAAGCAUUGCUAUGCAAUGAGCAAGAUUCCAGUGGGAACAUUUUCAAGUGUGGUCGGCCAACUGAUAUCUGGUCUCUUGGGUGUAUUCUAUAUCAGAUGGUGUAUGGUAAGACACCAUUUGCAGACUACACGACUUUCUGGACCAAAUUCAAAGCUGUUACCGAUAGGAACCACAAGAUCCGUUAUGAACCGGUCGACAACCCAUGGCUUAUUGAUCUAAUGCAAAGGUGCCUGGCCUGGGACCGAGACGAGCGGUGGAGGAUACCUCAGUUGCUUCAACACCCCUUUCUUGUCCCUCUGGUGCCACGGGAUGUGCCUCCCAUCAACCCUGAUCCUGAUCCGUGCAGCAUGCUGAUAGAGCAGGUCAGACCACACUGGGACAAUCCCGAGGUUGCCAGACUUUGUUCCGAGCUUCGAGGCGUGAUUGCAAAGUGCAAGCAGGAUCAAAGCAGUCAAAGCACUGAAACCUAA
rnacentral:rRNA from 1 species